GCCUUUCAGAGAGGUGCCUCCGUGAAAUUAGUUUCCAUCAUGUGACGCUGCUGCCUUGGUGUUGAGCAGUCAGUUAUGCAUAUUGAAGGUGUGCCCAGGGGCCCAAAAUAACUCAGAGGUGAGACAUGCCUUGGCCACAAACAGCAACGUUCACGAUGACUGUGUCAAGUACUGACAAUGCUGGACUCAGAGCAGACUGCAGAGAAUCCAUUGUUAAACAUUUGUCAGCACACCCAUGAGUAGAAGUCUCAGUUUUGCUCUCAGAGAGGCAUAAAUUCUGACCGACUCCUGGCUUUGGGAAAGAGGUAUUUAAAAUUCACUAGACUAUAUCGGAGGAAAUGCAGCAUCCACCCCAAUGACUUCUGAUUAUAUGUAAAGAAAGAGAAACAGAGCAAGAGAGAAAAGAGAGAAGAAGAAAAAAGUUCUAGAACUCAAACUUGCAACAGAGAUCAACCGAGAUACCAGCAGCAGAUCCAUUCAUGGAUUGUACCAGUCUGAAGCAAAUCACUCUCCAAGUUUCUAUCGUUGAGGCUUUUCCAACAUUUGAUCAUAGUCAGGACUAUCUUGGAUACUACAAUCAAGUUUUCUCUGUCAUUCAAGGACUGUUGAAUGAGCACUAUCUGAUCCAGGGCAUUGUAAUAAGUGCUGAAGACAUAAAAGGAGGAUUUGGACAUACUCCCCUUGAGACUUGUGUACACUUUUGAGUAUUUUGCUUUACGAUCAAAAUCAACAAUUUCUUUCAAGCUAUGAUUGAUUUGCACAGCCAAUUAGGGCCGAGUAUAUAGACAACAACACAGGCCAACAGUCAGUCCAUAUUUAUUGAGCUUUUACUAUAUGCCAAACAUCAUGCUAGGUGCUGGGGAUGUAGCAAUGAGCAAGAGAGGCCUAGAUAUAUCUUUGAUGCAUGAUACAUUUGUCUGUAUUUUCAGC
rnacentral:lncRNA from 1 species